ensembl:snoRNA SNORA70 Small nucleolar RNA SNORA70
CUGCAGCUAAAAGCCAUUUUCCUUUACUUGUGGCAGCCCAGAAUGUGAUUGUUACAUACAUCAACCUCCUCAGUAGUGUAUGAAGCUAGCCUAUUGCUUGUAUGGGUUGCCGUAAGAGACCUCGGAGACAGUA